GAUUCAAGAAGGAAAGUCAGAGGUUUCGAAGGGGGAUCAGAUACCCCCCCUAGUUCUGACCCAUAAAAGAUGCCAACCCAGCGAUCCAGCGUGAGUUACUCAAAUGACUCGGGGGGGCAGCUUCCUGGAAACCAAAGUAUUUGGGUUCCGGGGGGAAGUAUAGUUGCAAAAGCUGAAAACUAAAAGGAGAUUGACGGAAGGGCACCACCAGGAGUGGAGCCUGUGGCUUAAUUUGACUCAACACGGGAAAACUUACCCGGCCCGGACACUGGGAGGAUUGACAGAUUGAGAGCUCUUUCUUGAUUCGGUGGAUGGUGGUGCAUGGCCGUUCUUAGUUGGUGGAGCGAUUUGUCUGGUUAAUUCCGAUAACGAACGAGACUCUAGCCUAUUAAAUAGGUGCGGGGUUCCCAGCACCUUACAACCUUCUUAGAGGGACAAGCGGCUCCUAGCCGCACGAAACAGAGCAAUAACAGGUCUGUGAUGCCCUUAGAUGUCCGGGGCCGCACGCGCGCUACACUGAAGGAAGCAGCGUGUCUUUAUCCCUGUCUGAAAAGACUGGGUAACCCGUGGAACUUCUUUCGUGAUUGGGAUAGGGGCUUGCAAUUGUUCCCCUUGAACGAGGAAUUCCCAGUAAGCGCGAGUCAUAAGCUCGCGUUGAUUACGUCCCUGCCCUUUGUACACACCGCCCGUCGCUACUACCGAUUGAAUGAUUUAGUGAGGUUUUCGGACCGACGUCCGAAAAAUCCGAUCGGGUGCGCCGGGCUUUAACCUUAAUAACGUGGUCAUCCCUAUAACUCUGUAAGACCGGUGACAGAGUCUU
rnacentral:rRNA from 1 species